rnacentral:snoRNA from 1 species
UGGCGAUGAGGAGACCCUUACUGUGUUGGAUAACGAUGAUAGUUGUAUACGCUAUUCUGAGCCAGCA